rnacentral:rRNA from 1 species
GACGAACGCUGGCGGCGUGCUUAACACAUGCAAGUCGAACGGAAAGGCCCUGCUUUUGUGGGGUGCUCGAGUGGCGAUCGGGUGAGUAACACGUGAGUAACCUUCCCUUGACUUUGGGAUAACUUCAGGAAACUGGGGCUAAUACCGGAUAGGAGCUCCUGCUGCAUGGUGGGGGUUGGAACGUUUCGGCGGUUGGGGAUGGACUCGCGGCUUAUCAGCUUGUUGGUGGGGUAGUGGCUUACCAAGGCUUUGACGGGUAGCCGGCCUGAGAGGGUGACCGGCCACAUUGGGACUGAGAUACGGACCAGACGCCUACGGGAGGCAGCAGUGGGGAAUAUUGCACAAUGGGCGGAAGCCUGAUGCAGCAACGCCGCGUGCGGGAUGACGGCCUUCGGGUUGUAAACCGCUUUCGCCUGUGACGAAGCGUGAGUGACGGUAAUGGGUAAAGAAGCACCGGCUAACUACGUG